rnacentral:rRNA from 1 species
CACGGGGGUUGCGAGCGUUGUCCGGAAUUACUAGGCGUAAAGGGCACGUAGGCGGACUGGAAAGUCAGAGGUGAAAUCCCAGGGCUCAACCUUGGAACUGCCUUUGAAACUCCCGGUCUUGAGGUCGAGAGAGGUGAGUGGAAUUCCGAGUGUAGAGGUGAAAUUCGUAGAUAUUCGGAGGAACACCAGUGGCGAAGGCGGCUCACUGGCUCGAUACUGACGCUGAGGUGCGAAAGCGUGGUGAGCAAACAGGAUUAGAUACCCUGGUAGUCCACGCCGUAAACGAUGAAUGCCAGUCGUCGGGCAGCAUGCUGUUCGGUGACACACCUAACGGAUUAAGCAUUCCGCCUGGGGAGUACGGCCGCAAGGUUAAA